GCCUCUAUUGAUUUUACCUUGGCCUUUAGGGACUAAAUUUUUCUGUCGGCCGCUUGCUUCAACUCUGAGACCUCAUCACCUUUUUCUCCGCCUGAGCAGCUCGGGCCUCGAACUGAGCAGCUCUAGUCUCGGCCUCCUUCAAGGACUGCCAGGCUUCCUUCAAAAUAUCCAUGAAGUGGUCCACAUGGUGGAUGAGUUGAGCAAUAGACAAGAUCAGAAAAAAGAGGAAAAGAAAAGGAAGAGAAUUUUUUAAACUCACCUCGAAGAGAGUCAUAGGAAUGCUUAAUGUAGUAUCUAAGACUUUCCACGUUGAUUGCCUCGACAUCAACUGGAAGAAUCAUAGCCCGAAGUACUUCAUAAGCAACUCAAUCAUUCGCGAAGUCCCACCUGAGAUCCUAGACUCCCCGCCCAGGAUGAGUAGUGGGUUUUUGAGAAGUCGAGGCUGGAGGGUCAUCUUGGUGAAGAGAAAUGCGUAUAGAAAUCCGUGUAGUCGCAUCUCAGAGAAAUGAAGAUGCAGAUGGAGGAAUUGGUUCUCCUGGAGUGACUGAUUUGAGAGGGGGGACGACUUGGGCCCCUGAGAAGGAACCCCCCUCUUCAACUCUGAACCCUAGAUUGGCACCUGAGGAGAGCCGACGGUUGGUUAGGCAAGGAUAGCCUCAGCUUGGCCCUACUUAGGGGCAGGAGCAUCGCCCAAAGACUUCUUCCUUUUGGCAAUGUAGCACAGAGCCUCGAUCUCCUUAGGCUUCAUGUCUAGAAAACAAGAAUCAUCAGUAAAAAGAAACUCAGGUGAAACACAAAUUAAAGAUGACUUACCCUGAGGAUCACCCGAGCUCAACCCGACCUUAUACAACAUCUCCUUGGAAAGGAGCUUACGUAGAGGAGCAGUACAGUUGAAAAUAAACUUCUAGGCCUUCUCCUUGGCAUCGAAAAGUAUCGGAGCCUUAUUUGAUGACCUUCGAGGUCGACCCUUGAAGUAUCAAAACCUCGAGGCUGUUUGAUUGAAACAAAAAAAAUAAUGCUCCUUCCCAUGAACCGAGGAAGGAGCACCUCGAAAGAGAUGCUGCCCC
rnacentral:lncRNA from 1 species